rnacentral:rRNA from 1 species
CAUGCAGUCGAACGCCCUCUUUUAGAGGGAGUGGCGCACGGGUGCGUAACGCGUGGGAACCUGCCCUUAGGUUCGGAAUAACUCAGAGAAAUUUGAGCUAAUACCGGAUAAUGUCUUCGGACCAAAGAUUUAUCGCCUUUGGAUGGGCCCGCGUAGGAUUAGAUAGUUGGUGGGGUAAUGGCCUACCAAGUCGACGAUCCUUAGCUGGUCUGAGAGGAUGAUCAGCCACACUGGGACUGAGACACGGCCCAGACUCCUACGGGAGGCAGCAGUGGGGAAUAUUGGACAAUGGGCGAAAGCCUGAUCCAGCAAUGCCGCGUGAGUGAUGAAGGCCUUAGGGUUGUAAAGCUCUUUUACCAGGGAUGAUAAUGACAGUACCUGGAGAAUAAGCUCCGGCUAACUCCGUGCCAGCAGCCGCGGUAAUACGGAGGGAGCUAGCGUUGUUCGGAAUUACUGGGCGUAAAGCGCACGUAGGCGGCUUUUCAAGUCAGGGGUGAAAUCCCGGGGCUCAACCCCGGGAACUGCCCUUGAAACUGGGAUGGCUAGAAUACUGGAGAGGUGAG